rnacentral:rRNA from 1 species
UACGUAGGGUGCGAGCGUUAAUCGGAAUUACUGGGCGUAAAGCGUGCGCAGGCGGCUUUGCAAGACAGAUGUGAAAUCCCCGGGCUCAACCUGGGAACUGCAUUUGUGACUGCAAGGCUAGAGUACGGCAGAGGGGGAUGGAAUUCCGGGUGUAGCAGUGAAAUGCGUAGAUAUGCGGAGGAACACCAAUGGCGAAGGCAAUCCCCUGGGCCUGUACUGACGCUCAUGCACGAAAGCGUGGGGAACAAACAGG